AAUUCACUCAAAAUAUAAUAUAUUGACAAAAAAAAAAUAAUUGGCAUGAUUUUUCACUUGUUUAAAAGUAAAAAGAAACAUGUAAAAAAAAAUAUUACUUUGUGAUUUAAUAAUUCAUGCAUCAGAGGGUUAAAAGUUUUCGGUAAUUGAAAUUAAGUUUAAAUAAAUCAAAAAUUUAGAUAAAAAAUUCUACAAAAUAUAAUAAAGAUGACAAAAGGACAACAUCAUAUAUAAUAUAAUUUAUAAUAUUCAAUUGAAAAGUGAAAAUAAGCAAAUUCUCAAUAAAAUAAAUACUAUAUAAAUAACAGUAAAACAACACUGAUGGUCAGUUCUAGAGAAAAAUGUCCUUGAAACACAUGAUUUAAAGUAAAAAAAGAAACGUAAAUCGGGUCAUGUUUAUCUGUAUAGUGCUAUUUACAAUACAUGUUUGUUUCAAUAUCAGUAGAUUUCCAGUAAGUCAUCAUGACAAAUGUAUUUUUAAUAGCUGGCUUGUACGUUUUUGAGUUGAAUCUCUCACUUACUGUAACUCACAUCAGGAAAGGCUAGAUUAUUCUCACUAAUGAAUGUAAGCCGAGUGUGUUAAUGUUUCCAUCCAGCUGUUUUAUUUACUUACCACUGUUUAAUCGCAUUUGGAACUUGUUGAGUGUUCAUUUUAGACUCUGCUUGCAUGUUUAUUUCCUUUCAUGCAUAUUCAUUUCUACCUUUUCUUACACACUCUUCUUCUUCUUCUUUUUUUGGCAUCCUGUGAGCCAGAAACACAACAUGCGUGUGUUUGAUGUCCAUCUGAAGCAGGCGGAGGAAACGUCAGUGGGCCCGCGGCGCUCCACUCCUCUGUUGUGUCUACAUUAGCAGCUCGGUCUCCUGGAAAGACAGACCAGACGGACAAACAGGAAGCAGCUGUUGCCAGGGAAACAGGCUGCGGAGCGUGGGAGAGAUUGUGAGGUCUUCCAGCAGCACCUGCACACAGUUGAGUCAACACAGUGCCUCAUUAAAGCCUCGUUUAAUGGUCUUCUGGACACAUCUGCUGGCUUUUUGCUCUCUCAUAUCAGAUCCGCCCUCGACGAGGCUGUAAAUGUUCAUCUGCUGAGUGAAUCUGGGGUGAAAACACACCUGUAGUGUCGCCCUGCCCUCAUGAGCUCACGUCUGGAGACGUGGGUUCGUAAAUCCACCUGCCCUGCCCGCUGUUUUCCUCACAUUCAGCAAAUCCUGGCUUGUUUUUCCUGUGUUUCCUGCACCUGGUGCUCUGCUGCGAUGUGCCAACACUCUCGCCCGUCUGUCAGUCAGAGCUGGCACUGGCCACACAUAACCCACAUUCCUGCCUUAAAGACGCAGGACACCCACAGAACCAUCAUGCAUUCAAUCUGCCUCAGAAGUAUGGAAUGCGGACGGGGACAAAACUCAUUAAAUGGAACACGUGAAAUUUCACUGUGUGAACAUGCACUGUUUGUCUGCGUUCCUUUAGUAUGUGUAGACACGCACAUUCUGGCCAUGUUAAGGUGGCAGGUUUUGCCAUGUUUGUUUGGUAUGAGCAAAGAUGCACAGUUUUACAGUCUUCAGAUGAAAAAUUAUUCUGGAUGUGAUCAAAUACUUUUUAGAGUAUAUCUACAUCUAGAUUUACAUGUAUAUUAAUCAUUUUUUAGUUCAUUGCGGCAUUGCUUUACUGAUAUACUGUACUAGAAUAAAUAAAUGAAUGUUACAAUGUAAAUUAAGACUUUUUUUCCUGAGAAAGAACUAAAAAGGACAUGAGAAAUCAAGACAUAAGAGUGACAUUAAACACAACAUACCGAUGUGUUAUCCCUCAUGAACAAAUACAACGUCUGAUGUCCAGUGUAUUCAUGAUGAUAUCCAUAAAUAAACAUGAUAUCUGAUGUUUAUGUACAUAUAAAAUUAUCGCAUUACAUGUGCAAAUAUAGUCUCAAAUACAGCAAUUUCAUUGGCUGCUGUGUGUGUUGUCAUGUUAACGCGGACAAAAAGUGUGUGCUGACAUGGUGAAUUUCACACGUUCCUUUAAAGGGCUUUUGGCCCUGUCUGCCUUCCAUAUUCUGCCUGCAUCAGAAGCUGUGUUUAAAACAGAGUCUGUUUAGUCUGUUCUGACGUCAGAUGUGGGUGUGUAACCCUAAAUUAGAGCCUAAAAAACGUCACUUUACCAGCAUCCAGAAUCUGCAGUGAGCUCUUCUGAAUGAAGUAUCAUUUCAUUUGAUUGUUUGUCAUACUUUUGUGCUCCAGACAUGAAUGAUUCCUCAAAUCAUGUGUAUUGUUGAGGAUUAAAAGUUAAAAGAUUUAUCAGAUGCACUAUUUACAAAGAAACAUAUACACAUUAUUACACUCUAAAAAAUGCUGGGUUAAAUACAACCCAGCGUUGGGUAAAGUAUGGAAAAACCCAGCGAUUGGGUUGUUUUUGACCCAGCGGUUGGGUUACUGCCCAGAAGUUUGGGUUAAACAUUUAACCUGUUUAACUGUUGGUUGAAAACAACCCAAUCGCUGGGUUUGUCCAUAUUUUACCCAUCGCUGGGCUGAGUGUACAUUUUUAUAUAUUUUAAAAUAACUACAUUUUAAUUAUAUUAAGAAAUAUGAUUAGACAUUUAUCACUGAUAUUCAUUUAUUAUAAAAUGUAUUACUAUUAAAUUUUUUAACAUAUUUGAAGAUAAUGUUCAUAAAUGUUUUUAAUUAAAUUUAGCUAUUAAUGUAUAUUUUAAUUACCAUUACUGACAGUUCAUUAUCUCCCUUUUGUCUCCUCUGUUACUGUGU